rnacentral:lncRNA from 1 species
GGCAGCUGGGGGAGGGCACCCCCGUGCGCUUCCCCGCAUUUCGCCGCCGGCUCUGCCCGUUCCCCCGCCCGCAGCCGCCAGCCCGGGGCCGCGCAUCAUCGCCGCCGUCCCCGUCCCUCCCCCGCGCUCCCGGGGCGGCGCGGCCCGGCGGGGGGCGCGGGGGGCGGCUCCCACGGCCGCUCCGCCGCCUCACGGCCAGGCACGGCGGGCAGCGGGGACAGGCACCGCCGCCGCCCCCGGGGACGCGCCGGGGCCGGGCCGGGGUCCCUCCGGAGCCGCCGCCUGGGCUGCGGCUCUGCCCGCGCCGCCGCCGCCGCGCCAUGGGCAGCCCGGGAGCCGGAGCCUGAGCGGCGCAUGGGAGAAU